UACGUAGGCAGCAAGCGUUGAUCGGAAUUACUGGGCGUAAAGAGUGUGUAGGCGGUGAUCUAAGUUCGGUGUGAAAUCUCCCGGCUCAACUGGGAGGGUGCGCCGAAAACUGGAGUGCUGGAGCGCGGGAGAGGAAAGCGGAAUUCCUGGUGUAGCGGUGAAAUGCGUAGAUAUCAGGAGGAACACCGGCGGUGUAGACGGCUUUCUGGACCGUAGCUGACGCUGAGACACGAAAGCGUGGGUAGCAAACAGG
rnacentral:rRNA from 1 species